GGCUAUCUGAUGUCUGCAUCAGUAAAGAGCAAAUGUGUAUAAUUUUAACCCUAGUUGGGAGAAGGAAAGACAACGUUCUUCAGUGAAUCUCGAGGGACAUCUGACGUUUGUUGAUCUUCUGCUCUGUUGCGGCAGUUUCAUUUAUUUUAUUAGGAGGCAAAAACAUUAACUGCAAACGAUUUUGAGAAACAAAGCGCCGGUGGGUGAAGGUGGUGGCAGUAGUUCUACAUGGUUUGGUGUUUAUUCAUUGAGCCUUUGUCGCAAGGUACCAGAUGAGGUUCAAAGAAAAGUAUUGUAACAACAUUGUUUUAUUAGGAGGUGCGGCGCUUUUGAUGUCCUCCACUUGUGCAGCACCUGUAGCUUUGAUAGUAAAGCUCUAGAAUACACUGAAGAGACCUCACCAGCUUAUAAGGGUGUUUUGCUAUUGUUUUAUAAUAUAUGUCAUUUUAGCGCAAGCUUAAAUUCUACAUUCUUAAUCCACGCAUGGAGACCUUCUCGCGUUAGUGACCCGCGGUAGAGGACACUAAGCGCGGUUUUGUUUACAUCUGUUAAUGCAUUUUACGAAGAACAGCCCACUGAUUUUACUGAGAAGAACACGUCUACAAAACCGAAGAAAAACGUUAAGGCUAUGCUUCUUUAAAGUAAUGGACAGCUCCCAUCUGAAAGAGAACAUUCAGACAGAGAUGAACACAGUUGGGAAGUCAAACAGAGAGGCUUUGCAGUGGGAGAAAAUGAACUGGAAUGAAGUGCAAAUCAAUGAUUCAUCAGGACAUUCAGAAAAACAUGGAAACUCCUGACAGAGGUGCAGAACCUAAGCAGUGUACCUCUGGGAAACUUAAAUGUGACCUGACGUUGGCUUUCGUGCACUUUUUUUGUUGGUUGAUCAAGUAAGGUUCAUGAGAAGAAAAAAAAAAUGUAGACCCAAAAUAAAUGAGUUGUAAAUGGAUAGAAACCCAAUUGAAAAUUCUGUCAUUGACAAAACAGCUGUAAUAGCGACUUCAGCUGAAGUCGUAAACACAAGCCACAGAACCAUAUGGCUUUACCCAUACCACCAAAUUCUGCUGGUUAUUAAAGUGACCCAUUUAUUUGCAAAAAUGAAUAAAAUUUUCCAGUAGGUUUAGGUAUUUUUGGAAAGAAAAACAUAGUUAAAAGUUUAUGGCCUUUUAUGAACUUUAAAUAAACCGAAAGCAGUAUUUUGCAACUAACAAGCUAAAAGAAACAAGCAAUUCAGUGAUGCCUGAGGAAUCACACAUCUAAACAUGCACAUCUGCAGCACACCUUAUUUUGCAGAUUCAAUCACAAGUAAAAUAUAUUUAAGUUACUUCAGUCUGAUGGGAUUUUUUUUCCUUACACCAGAAUGUGAGGUGUUGUUGAUGAUUGUAUCUAUAAGUUAUUGCAGUCAAUUUAAUAUCAAUAAAUUUCAUAUCGAUCAUUAUAUCAGUCGCCAUCAGUGAACUAUUCCCAACAAUGAUUUGUUUUUUUUUUAAUAUAAUAAAACAAUAUAGUACAAUAUACACACAAUAUGAAACUUGAAAUAGUCAGAGUUCAACAUUGUGCUGCAUGUCAGGGGGAACGCAGUACCGACACUUCUAUAUUUUAGUCUUUAGAGUACCUGCACUUUUUUGUGCGUACCGCCAUUUCUGACAUGUUGCCGGUGCUCUGAGUAAAAGUGUCAGUGUCUCGGUAAUUAUAAAUUACACUAUAUAAAUCACUCUACCAGGGCAGGACCGCCUCUCAUCUCGACAAAUGACGUGAGCGAAUUCAAGCGGAAUAGGUCUACCUCAUGUGUGGGGUGCCAGAACAUGUUAGUGGAGGCGUGUAGAGUAGUAUAAUUAAUCAAUGCAAAAAUAAUUUAUUAUUGAUUACUAAUUUGAAUCAGUACUUUAUACCUUACAAAUUAAAAAAAAAUAAUAAUUUUGCAAUCACAUUUUAAAGUGGUAAACGGAUCCAGUAAAUUAAUUCACACAGUCAGUUCAAAACAGCGCUAAUAAUCAUAUUACCCCAAUUUUACAGUCUCUGCACUGGCUACCUAUUAAGUUCCAUAUCAGUUACAAAAUAUUAUUAUUACUUAUAAGGCCCUUAAUGGUUUAGCUCCUGUGUUCCUAACUAGUCUUCUACCACGCUACAAUCCAUCACGCUCCCUAAGGUCACAAAACGCUGGACUUUUGAUAGUACCUAGGAUAGCAAAGUCCACUAAAGGAGGUAGAGCUUUUUCGCAUUUGGCUUCCAAACUCUGGAAUAGCCUUCCUGAUAAUGUUCAGGGUUCAGACACACUUUCUCUGUUUAAAUCUAGAUUAAAAACACACCUCUUUGGCCAAGCAUUGAAAUAUGCAUCUCAUAAUUUUGGACUGCAGUUAUAUCUGAUCAAAUGCGCAUUAUUAUUCUUUAGCUUGGGGUAAACUAAUUAAUUUUACUUUGCUGGAACAGCAGCUACGCUAAUUAUGUCUCUAUUUGUUUCUCUGUUUUACACAAG
ensembl:lncRNA